CCUACGGGUGGCAGCAGUGGGGAAUAUUGCACAAUGGGGGAAACCCUGAUGCAGCGACGCCGCGUGAGUGAAGAAGUAAUUCGUUAUGUAAAGCUCUAUCAGCAGGGAAGAAAAUGACGGUACCUGAGUAAGAAGCCCCGUCUAACUACGUGCCAGCAGCCGCGGUAAUACGUAGGGGGCAAGCGUUAUCCGGAUUUACUGGGGGUAAAGGGAGCGUAGACGGGAGUGCAAGUCUGUAGUGAAAGGCGGGGGCCCCACCCCCGGCGUGCUCUGGAAACUGUACGGCUUGAGUGCAGGAGAGGUAAGUGGAAUUCCUAGUGUAGCGGUGAAAUGCGUAGAUAUUAGGAGGAACACCAGUGGCGAAGGCGGCUUACUGGACUGUAACUGACGUUGAGGCUCGAAAGCGUGGGGAGCAAACAGGAUUAGAUACCCGAGUAGUC
rnacentral:rRNA from 1 species